CCUUAUCGAUAAACAAUUGGAGGGCAAGUCUGGUGCCAGCAGCCGCGGUAAUUCCAGCUCCAAUAGCGUAUAUUAACGUUGUUGCAGUUAAAAAGCUCGUAGUUGAAAUGAAGGGUAGUUGUGUAAUGAAUACAUUCGUGUAUUUUGUUAUUCUACUACCCUCCUUCUAAAUUCGAUAUAUGAGUAUUAAUUUACUUGUAUAUGGUUUUAGACCUUUACUGUGAGAAAAUUAGAGUGUUCAAAGCAGGCAUUUGCUUGAAUAUAUUAGCAUGGAAUAAUCAUGUAUGAUUUUCAUGAUGUAUUUGAUUGGUUUGGUUCAUGAGAAUAAGAUUAAAAGGGACAGUUGGGGGUAUUCAUAUUCAAUAGUCAGAGGUGAAAUUCUCGGAUUUAUGGAAGAUGAACAAGUGCGAAAGCAA
rnacentral:rRNA from 1 species